UUCCGAUAUAUAUAAAUUUUCAUAUAAAUUUUUUAUAAAUUGUAUAAUAAUAAUUAUGAAAUAAUAAUUUUUUAUAUUAUUUAAAUUGUAUAUUAAUAAAAUUUUAAGUAAUUGAAAUUGAGCAUUGUAUAACUCUUAGUAGAAUGUUAUAUAAUUUAAAUUAUUAAUCAUUAUAAUUGCAUAAUUAAAAAAAAAAGAAAAAUACUAAUAUUUAUUAAUUUCACAUUAAUUAACAAAUUUAUGAGCUUGCAUUAUAGUAAUUUUUAUAUAGUGGUUUUAUCUAUAAUAAGAGUAUUAUAAUAUUAAAAAAUCAUUAUACAAUAUUUAAAAAAUAAUUUUUUUGUUACAUAUUUAAAUGAAAAUAUAUUUAAUAUAAUAAUUUUUCUUUAAAAAGAGAAAUGUUUAAUUUAUGCAUUAUUUAAUAAUACAUUCCUAAUAAUACUAUAAAAUCAACGAAUCAUGUGUCAUCAUAUAUUAAGAAUCUAGAGGGAUUUUACGUAUACAACAGUGUUUCUUGAACAAGAGAAUUAAUAUAGGACAAAAUAAUUGUUAGUAACAUAGAAAUAAGAAUAGGAGAAUGAUAUUGCACGUGAUGAGAAGCUUACUAUAACAAUAGUUUACUCAACAAAAUCAGAUGAUGAAUGAUGGAAAGGGUUGAAAAUUAUAUAAAUAAUGCUGUAUCAGUUUCAUCAUUCAGUAUUUUUGUAACGUGAAAAGAAUUAUAUUAACUUUAUAGCCAUAAAAUAAAUAAGAAACUGAUAAAACAAAUGAAAUGACAAAAUAAAUUAUAAAUUAUAUUUUUGCGAUCGAAUGCAUUUAAAAAUUUUUUCAAUUUUGUUAAUGUUAUCUUCUAUUAAAAUUAUAUAUAAUAAAUUAUAAUUCAAGUAUUGUAUUUUAUAGAUUAUUUUAAUCAUAGAAAAUUUAAAUAUAUCUAAAAAAUAGGAUUAAUAAUUUAAUCAAUAUAAGAAAAAAAUUGUUUUAUUAUUAUAUAGUAAUUUUAUCAUUACUCUUUAAAUAAUUUAACAAUUCAAUUAAUUAUAAUUUAAUAAUUCUAUUAAAAUUAGAAAGAAAUAAUGUGUGUAUGUGUAUAUUAUGUGUUUUUAUAAAUAUAAGUAAAUUAUUAAAAAAAAGAAAAGAAAAAAAAAAAGACAAAAAACAACAUUAAAUCAAUGGCAAUAAUUAUUUAUAAAAGUGAAUGAUAUAUAAGAUAUAAUAUUAAUAAUUAUGAAUUUGUAUAUACAAAACAGAUUGUCAAAACAAAUUAGAACAUAAAUAUAAAAAAUGUGUACUUAUAAAUAUAAAAAUUUAUGUGAUAAAUAAAAAUAAUGUUGUCAUAUAUUUUUUAUAUUUUGUUCUAUAAAAAUUCUUAAAAGAAAAAAAUAAUUCAAAUUUUUGAAUUUCACAUUUUUUAAAAAUAUAGUAAAAUUUAAUCGAUCAAAAUUGUAAUUUUUACUUGUUAACUAAUUAUAAAUAAUUACUUAUAAUUAUCUUAUUGUUAAAUUUUUAUAUUGUUAUAAUAUUUUAGUUGCAGAAAUAAAUAAAGAAAUUAAAUAAAGAA